UAGCUGUGUCCAGGCACUGAGCAGGGUUCUUCAAGUACAAUAAUGAAGCUGCAUGAUAGAGCUAUCUAAUAAAAUUCUCUCAUACCCAAGUGAUUUGUAGCAUGCUCUUCAAUCUUUGCAGGUCUGAAGGAGUGUGGGCAUGUUCCUCUCAGCUUUACUCCGCCCAUGGGUGGCCCAUUCAGCCUGAGUAUCUGCGGUUCAUGGGGAAGUUCCAUCAUGACCUGCACGAUUUGCUUCUCCUCACUCGUACAGUCUCUAAAGCAAAGGUUAUUUGUAAACAUUGUGCAAACAUCUGAAUAUCGUCCACCCUGCUGUCAUCAGCAACAUUUAGUCACUUCUGAGCACUAAGAGAGAAGACAAAAUGAAUUCAGGAUAAAACGAUUUCAAGUCUAGACUCAGUAAAAUGACUUUUUAAUAAUUUGUCAAAUCCCAGAAAAAUUAAGCAACAUGGUGCCUACGUUUUUAUUCUCAAGGGGAAAAAAAGGGAGACUUACAGGAGGUUCUUUGCAACUGAUUUAUGCAGGAUGAGCAGUGGCAGAAGCCUCCUGGUAGGUUGCCCAAGCAAACCCCAUCUUGACUCUAUUACAGGGGACAUAACUCAGAGAAGAGAGACAUGGGGCGGACUCCUGUCCUUGCACCGGCCCAAUUGCAGAAAUAUGCCGAGAGAAAUAGGCCGACACUGCAAACCUCUGACACUCUGAUAUGAAGAGCCUGCCUGACCUGCGGAAGGUGAUACCGCCCAGGAGAUGAGGGAGGGGAGAGAUCAGCAGUGGCUUGGGGGAGGCUCAGGUCAGAAGCGAGAAGCCCAAAAGGGUUAGAGUUGGAAGAUUUCAAAAGUUGGAGUGAGGGGAGAACUUUCACUAUAGUGAUUAUGAGAGAGGCUCUGAGCAAUGGACUUUACGUUGCCCAGCAGGAUGAAAGUGUAAUCAGUGUAGAGGAAGAAGCAGAAACGAGCUGAGAGAGGAGGCAGCUACCCCAGAAGCUCCUGGAGAGAGGUGGUGCCAAGCCUUGGAGCAUUUGUUGAGAUUGCUGGAGGUGCAUUUUUCAGGGCAAAGAUUUAGCAGCACUGCGACACGUCUAAGAAGGUCUCCGUGUUGGAUUUACUGCUGUGGCUAGACAGGUAACUUGAAUUCCUCUGCUUGUGAUU